ACGGAAGGCAGCAGUGGGGAAUAUUGCACAAUGGGGGAAACCCUGAUGCAGCGACGCCGCGUGAGUGAAGAAGUAUUUCGGUAUGUAAAGCUCUAUCAGCAGGAAAGAAAAUGACGGUACCUGACUAAGACGCCCCGGCUAACUACGUGCCAGCAGCCGCGGUAAUACGUAGGGGGCAAGCGUUAUCCGGAUUUACUGGGUGUAAAGGGAGCGUAGACGGCUUUGCAAGUCUGAAGUGAAAGCCCGGGGCUCAACCCCGGAACUGCUUUGGAAACUGUAGAGCUAGAGUGCAGGAGAGGUAAGUGGAAUUCCUAGUGUAGCGGUGAAAUGCGUAGAUAUUAGGAGGAACACCAGUGGCGAAGGCGGCUUACUGGACUGUAACUGACGUUGAGGCUCGAAGGCGUGGGGAGCAAACAGGAUUAGAUACCCUGGUA
rnacentral:rRNA from 1 species